AUUGAACGCUGGCGGCAGGCCUAACACAUGCAAGUCGAACGAGUGGCGGACGGGUGAGUAAUGUCUGGGAAACUGCCUGCUGGAGGGGGAUAACUACUGGAACCGGUAGCUAAUACCGCAUACCAUCGGAUGUGCCCAGAUGGGAUUAGCUGGUUGGUGGGGUAAAGGCUCACCUAGGCGGCGAUCCCUAGCUGGUCUGAGAGGAUGACCAGCCACACGGGAACAGAGACACGGUCCAGACUCCGACGGGAGGAAGCAGUGGGGAAGAGGGCACAAUGGGCGAAAGCCUGAUGCAGCCAUGCCGCGUGGAUGAGGAGGGGAUUCGGGUUGUAAAGUACUUUCAGCGGGGAGGCGGUACCCGCAGAAGAAGCACCGGCUAACUCCGUGCCAGCAGCCGCGGUAAUAC
rnacentral:rRNA from 1 species